AUGGAGAAAUGCUUUCUUCUGAUUCUAAUAUCCACUCCAGGUAUUUUAUCUGACAGCAUCCAACCAAAAGACGAGGAAACUAAUAUUUAUAGAAAAGAAGAAGAGCAUGUAACACUGAGCUGCACUUAUGAUACAAGCAGCAGUGAUGUCGAUCUGUACUGGUACAGACAAUAUCCGAACAGAGAACCAGAAUUUUUACUGUGGAAAGGUGCCCGUUUACGGAGCAGUUAUGAAUAUAUACCAGAUACUCAGUUUCAGAUGACUACAUCACAAACAUCCACUGAACUCUCUAUUAAGAGUGUAACUCUGGCAGAUUCGGCUCUCUAUUAUUGUGCUCUAAGAUUAGCAGCCCAGUGAUACAAAAUGCCUGAGAAGCUUUACAAAAACUCACAUUUAGUUUUUGCCUUAAAAAAAAAAUCAAAUAAAAAUGUAACCACAAUCAUAUCUUGUGUAAAGCCACAACACUUCUUUCACAAUAUGAUAUUUGUAACAUCUGCUGGAAGAAAAGGAAAUGUGUGCUUAGG